rnacentral:rRNA from 1 species
AGAAUCAACGCUGGCGGCGUGCCUAACACAUGCAAGUCGAACGAGAAAGUGGGAGCAAUCCCACGAGUAAAGUGGCGCACGGGUGAGUAACACGUGACUAACCUACCCUUGAGUGGGGGAUAACCUAGGGAAACCUGGGCUAAUACCGCAUAAUACCUACGGGUCAAAGGAGCAAUUCGCUUAAGGAGGGGGUCGCGGCCGAUUAGUUAGUUGGCGGGGUAAUGGCCCACCAAGACUAUGAUCGGUAUCC